rnacentral:RNase_P_RNA from 1 species
GAAAGAUGAUCGCGAGUACUUUGUAUUCGAGGAAAGUCCGAGCUCCGUAGGGCAGGGUGCUGGAUAACGUCCAGCGAGGGUGACCUUAGGGAAAGUGCCAUAGAAAAGAAAACCGCCGAUUUUUCGGUAAGGAUGGAACGGUGCGGUAAGAGCGCACCAGCAACCAGGUGACUGGUUGGCUUGGUAAACCCCACCUGGAGCAAGACCGAAUAGGGAAGGGAUGAAGUUGCCCGCAGAACCUUCCGGGUUGUGUCGCUAGAGCUUCUAGGCAACUAGAAGCGUAGAUAGAUGAUCAUCACCGCUACGGCGGAACAAAACUCGGCUUAUUGAUU